rnacentral:lncRNA from 1 species
AUGCGCAGCGUUUGAGCAAUAGGAUGUCUCCCAAGGGUAACCUGUUUGUUCGCUGCGACAAGAGUUAUACGCCCUUUCUCUUCAGUAGCGCAAUACACGUAUAUAUAUAAUCUGUGUCCUAAGAGUAAGAUAUUAUGAGGAGUGGUGUGUAGCUACUUCGUGUUGGGGCCAUUCAGAGAUUGGAGGCUCGAAAACUUGACCGAAAAGUCAGUGGUACAACUUACAAGCAAGGCUUCCAACUCAACUGUGUUUUGUUUUGUCCGAAACGGAUUGAUGUCACGCGCGCUCAGUCAGAGUGCGGCCGUCGCGAGGAGUCCCGUGUCAUGACGUGCCGCUGUCCUUUGCAGAAGUUGUGAAAAUAGUCACGACUCUCUCAAAGUUCAACAGACGGAGCUGCAUUUCAGAUUCCUCAUAAAAAUUAAAUCGAAUGCCCCCUCCAAGGAUGCGUCUCCCAGGUGGACCAGUGACUUUAAACAGGCCUUAAUGUGCGUCUCUGUCAAUCAGUGUUUUAUGGCUGCUUUGCAAUGGGCUGGUGUUCCAGAUUAUUUUCUUAAUUUUGCUUCUGCAUUUUUUUUUUUU